GAUGAACGCUGACAGAAUGCUUAACACAUGCAAGUCUACUUGAACUUCGGUUUGGGUGGCGGCCGGGUGAGUAACGCGUACAGAACUUACCUCACAGUUAGGGACAACAUUUGGAAACGAAUGCUAAUACCUGAUAUUAUGAUUUUAGGGCAUCCUAGGAUUAUGAAAGCUAUAUGCGCUGUGAGAGAGCUUUGCGUCCCAUUAGCUAGUUGGAGAGGUAACGGCUCACGAAGGCGAUGAUGGGUAGCCGGCCUGAGAGGGUGAACGGCCACAAGGGGACUGGGACACGGCCCUUACUCAUUCGGGAGGCAGCAGUGGGGAAUAUUGGACAACGGACCAAGAGUCUGAUCAAGGAAUUCGGUGUGCACGAUGACGUUUUUCGGAAUGAAAAGCGCUUUCAGUUGGGAAGAAAAAAAUGACGGUACCAACAGAAGAAGUGACGGCUAAAUACGUG
rnacentral:rRNA from 1 species